CGUGCCUAAGGUAUGCAAGUCGAAUGCCGAUUUAUCGGCAUGGCAGACGGCUGAGUAAUACAUGGGAAUCUACCUCAAACUCGAGAAUAGCCCAUCGAAAGGUGGUGUAAUACUCGAUAGUUCCGUUUACGGUAAAGCUCCGGCGGUCUGAGAUGAGCCCAUGUCCUAUCAGGUUGUCGGUAGGGUAAUUGCCUACCAAGCCUAUGACGGGUAGCUGGUUUGAGAGGAUGAUCAGCCAGACUGGGACUGCGAUACGGCCCAGACUCCUACGGGAGGCAGCAACUAGGAAUCAUGCGCAAUGGACGAAAGUCUGACGCUGCGACGUCGCGUGAGGGAUGAAGGUCUUCGGAUCGUAAACCUCUUUUAUCUGGGAACAAGUUCUGAGUGUACCAGAUGAAUAAGUGCCUGCCAACCACGUGCCAGAAGCAUCGGUAAUGCGUGGGGCACGAGCGUUAUCCGGAUUUACUGGGCGUAAAGAGAUGCGUAGGCGCCUUUUUAAGUCACUUGUAAAAUCUCCCCGCUCAACGGGGAAACUGCAAGUGAUACUGAAUUGGUUGAGUCAAGUAGAGGAGAGGGGAAUUCCUGGUGGAGCGGUUAAAUGCGUUGAUAUCAGGAGGAAUACCAAGUGCGAAGGCACCUCUCUGGACUUGUACUGACGCUAAGGCUCGAAAGUGUGGGGAGCAAAACGGAUUAGAUACCCGUGUAGUCCACACUGUAAACGAUCCCUGCUAGAUGUUUG
rnacentral:rRNA from 1 species